rnacentral:rRNA from 1 species
AACGAACGCUGGCGGCAGGCUUAACACAUGCAAGUCGAACGGGUGCAGCAAUGCAUCAGUGGCAGACGGGUGAGUAACACGUGGGAACCUUCCUCGGGGUACGGAACAACUCAGGGAAACUUGAGCUAAUACCGUAUACGUCCGUGAGGAGAAAGAUUUAUCGCCCUGAGACGGGCCCGCGUCGGAUUAGCUAGUUGGUGGGGUAACGGCCUACCAAGGCGACGAUCCGUAGCUGAUCUUAGAGGAUGAUCAGCCACACUGGGACUGAGACACGGCCCAGACUCCUACGGGAGGCAGCAGUGGGGAAUCUUGGACAAUGGGCGCAAGCCUGAUCCAGCCAUGCCGCGUGAGUGAAGAAGGUCUUCGGAUCGUAAAGCUCUUUUGCCAGGGACGAUAAUGACGGUACCUGGAGAAUAAGCCCCGGCAAACUUCGUGCCAGCAGCCGCAGUAAGAC